UAGAAAUUAGAUCUCAAAAGUUUAUGAUUCAUAGUUGUUUGCAAUUUUUCGCUUUCUUCUCGAUGAAUCAUCUGUUCCAUCAAAGUCGGCGGUGGCUGCACUCUGACUUGUACUGAAAAAGGAAUCUUCCGAUCAAGCCAAAGAACAAAUUCACUUGAAUCGCACUCCAUAACUAAACAUUUUGCACAAGGGACAAGGAGUUUCAUCCCUUAGUUAAGGUACUUAUUCGAGUCUUGCUAAUGAAAAUAAUAGGUGUCAAAGAGAAUUUUUUUUCUUUGCAAUCACAACUGCAGUUAAAAAGUGAGUUCCAAAUACAGAUGCUGAAGGGAUCUUGGACCAAAAAAAAAAAAUGUA